rnacentral:rRNA from 1 species
CUCAACCUCGGGCUUGCAGUGGGUACGGGCAGACUAGAGUGCGGUAGGGGAGAUUGGAAUUCCUGGUGUAGCGGUGGAAUGCGCAGAUAUCAGGAGGAACACCGAUGGCGAAGGCAGAUCUCUGGGCCGUAACUGACGCUGAGGAGCGAAAGCGUGGGGAGCGAACAGGAUUAGAUACCCUGGUAGUCCACGCCGUAAACGUUGGGCGCUAGAUGUAGGGACCUUUCCACGGUUUCUGUGUCGUAGCUAACGCAUUAAGCGCCCCGCCUGGGGAGUACGGCCGCAAGGCUAAAACUCAAAGGAAUUGACGGGGGCCCGCACAAGCGGCGGAGCAUGCGGAUUAAUUCGAUGCAACGCGAAGAACCUUACCAAGGCUUGACAUACACCGGAAACGGCCAGAGAUGGUUGCCCCCUUGUGGUCGGUGUACAGGUGGUGCAUGGUUGUCGUCAGCUCGUGUCGUGAGAUGUUGGGUUAAGUCCCGCAACGAGCGCAACCCUCGUUCUAUGUUGCCAGCGCGUUAUGGCGGGGACUCAUAGGAGACUGCCGGGGUCAACUCGGAGGAAGGUGGGGAUGACGUCAAAUCAUCAUGCCCCUUAUGUCUUGGGCUUCACGCAUGCUACAAUGGCCGGUACAAAGGGCUGCGAUACCGUAAGGUGGAGCGAAUCCCAAAAAGCCGGUCUCAGUUCGGAUUGAGGUCUGCAACUCGACCUCAUGAAGUCGGAGUCG